UUUCGCAAUGCCCGAAAGGGUGACGAAGCGACGCCGCGUGUGGGAAGAAGGCCUUCGGGUUGUAAACCACUGUCGGGAGUUAGGAAACGUAAGGGUGCUAAUAGUAUCCUUACUUGACUAAGGCUCCGGAGGAAGCCACGGCUAACUCUGUGCCAGCAGCCGCGGUAAUACAGAGGCGGCAAGCGUUGUUCGGAAUUAUUGGGCGUAAAGAGCACGUAGGCGGCCUUGUAAGUCAGUUGUGAAAGCCUUCUGCUUAACGGAAGAACAGCAGCUGAUACUGCAAGGCUAGAGUGCGGAAGGGGAGAGUGGAACUUCUGGUGGAGCGGUGAAAUGCGUAGAUAUCAGAAGGAACACCGGCGGCGAAGGCGACUCUCUGGUCCGUAACUGACGCUGAGUGUGCGAAAGCUAGGGGAGCAAACGGGAUUAGAUACCCCGGUAGUCCUAGCCGUAAACGAUGGGCACUAAGUAGAGGGGUUUU
rnacentral:rRNA from 1 species